rnacentral:rRNA from 1 species
CAGUAGCCGCGGUAAUACGAGGGGGGCAAGCGUUGUUCGGAAUUAUUGGGCGUAAAGGGUGCGUAGGCGGUUUGAUAAGUCAUCUGUGAAAUCUCUGGGCUCAACCCAGAGUCUGCAGGCGAAACUGUCGAGCUUGAGUAUUGGAGAGGUGAGUGGAAUUUCCGGUGUAGCGGUGAAAUGCGUAGAUAUCGGAAGGAACACCUGUGGCGAAAGCGGCUCACUGGACAAUUACUGACGCUGAUGCACGAAAGCUAGGGGAGCGAACGGGAUUAGAUACCCCGGUAGUCCCUGUCUCUUAUAA